GCAUAUCAAUAAGCGGAGGAAAAGAAACUAACAAGGAUUCCCCUAGUAACGGCGAGUGAAGCGGGAAGAGCUCAAAUUUGAAAUCUGGUGGCCUCAGUUCAUCCGAGUUGUAAUCUAUAGAAGUGUUUUCCGUGCUGGCUCAUGUACAAGUCCCUUGGAACAGGGCGUCAUAGAGGGUGAGAAUCCCGUCCUUGACAUGAACUACCAGUGCUCUGUGAUACAUUUUCAACGAGUCGAGUUGUUUGGGAAUGCAGCUCAAAAUGGGUGGUAAAUUCCAUCUAAAGCUAAAUAUUGGCGAGAGACCGAUAGCGAACAAGUACCGUGAGGGAAAGAUGAAAAGCACUUUGGAAAGAGAGUUAAACAGUAUGUGAAAUUGUUGAAAGGGAAACGAUUGAAGUCAGUCGUGCUCUUUGGAUUCAGCCGGUUCUGCCGGUGUACUUCCUUUGAGUGGGGUCAACAUCAGUUUUGAUCGCUGGAUAAAGGCUGGAGGAACGUAGUACCCUCGGGUAAACUUAUAGCCUCCUGUCACAUACAGUGGUUGGGACUGAGGAACGCAGCACGCCUUUAUGGCCGGGAUUCGUCCACGUACGUGCUUAGGAUGUUGACAUAAUGGCUUUAAACGACCCGUCUUGAAACACGGACC
rnacentral:rRNA from 1 species